rnacentral:tRNA from 1 species
UGAAAAUUUUAGUUAAGUUAAUAUUAGUUUGUCAGACUAAAGAUGAGAAAUUCCUCAG